GAGAUUCGUUGGCCAGGAACUGAAUUUGACUUAUUACCUCGAGAGUUGCAAAGACAAUCCGUCACAGAGUAUCCACAGAGUUGCAGAGGAAAUUGCCUCAAAAGUGGUCAGCACUACCAGAGCUCACAAACUUGUCAAGUUUUUCUUGAGAAUUUUGAAUGAAACGCUCAAACAUUGGGAGAAGACGCGAGGAUCCGCAGAUAUGGGUGACAUUUUGCACAAUGAAAAGUUCAUCCGUUCCCUCAUGGCCUGCUGUGUGGAAAUAUUCGUGUUUAUUCACAAUAUCUCCAGUUUUAAGUUCAAGAAAGUAUUGGCCACAUGUCAUAUCACACCAUUCGA
rnacentral:ribozyme from 1 species